rnacentral:rRNA from 1 species
CCUGAAUUCGAAAGGGGUUCGGAUUCAUCACAUAUCAUCGGUUUGCCAGGCCGUCACAACCAGAUGGCGUCGGUCGCCCGCACGGCGAUUUAUUUCGCCUGCGGUGUCGUUCCCCGACGAUCACAGGGUGACUGACGUGUCCUGGGACCGUGAGGUGCACUUCCCCCCUAGUAGAAACGUCGCGACCCGUUGGGUGCCGGUCAAAGGCCCGGGAAGGCAGCCCGUGGUGCCCCGGCAGCAACUGUCGGGCCCACGGACUCCUGGUGUCCCGGCCGGCUGCUCGACGGUACGACCAGAGGAGCUGAUCCGCUGCCUGCAAAGCAGCUUGAGUGUGGAGCGUCCGGCUCGGCGCCGACGCGUGCGGGGUAAAAUGUGGUGUACAGGGGGUCCCCGUGCUAUGCACGGUCCCCCACCCGUCUCGCCGUCGGUCGUCCGGUGUCCUCGGACUGGAUCGUUGCUCCCGUCGGCGACGCCCAUCUUCGGAUGGUCUCCCGACCCGUCUUGAA